AAAUUGAAGAGUUUGAUCAUGGCUCAGAUUGAACGCUGGCGGCAGGCCUAACACAUGCAAGUCGAGCGGUAGCACAGAGAGCUUGCUCUCGGGUGACGAGCGGCGGACGGGUGAGUAAUGUCUGGGAAACUGCCUGAUGGAGGGGGAUAACUACUGGAAACGGUAGCUAAUACCGCAUAAUGUCGCAAGACCAAAGUGGGGGACCUUCGGGCCUCAUGCCAUCAGAUGUGCCCAGAUGGGAUUAGCUAGUAGGUGGGGUAACGGCUCACCUAGGCGACGAUCCCUAGCUGGUCUGAGAGGAUGACCAGCCACACUGGAACUGAGACACGGUCCAGACUCCUACGGGAGGCAGCAGUGGGGAAUAUUGCACAAUGGGCGCAAGCCUGAUGCAGUCAUGCCGCGUGUGUGAAGAAGGCCUUCGGGUUGUAAAGCACUUUCAGCGGGGAGGAAGGCGUUAAGGUUAAUAACCUUGGCGAUUGACGUUACCCGCAGAAGAAGCACCGGCUAACUCCGUGCCAGCAGCCGCGGUAAUACGGAGGGUGCAAGCGUUAAUCGGAAUUACUGGGCGUAAAGCGCACGCAGGCGGUCUGUCAAGUCGGAUGUGAAAUCCCCGGGCUCAACCUGGGAACUGCAUUCGAAACUGGCAGGCUAGAGUCUUGUAGAGGGGGGUAGAAUUCCAGGUGUAGCGGUGAAAUGCGUAGAGAUCUGGAGGAAUACCGGUGGCGAAGGCGGCCCCCUGGACAAAGACUGACGCUCAGGUGCGAAAGCGUGGGGAGCAAACAGGAUUAGAUACCCUGGUAGUCCACGCCGUAAACGAUGUCGAUUUGGAGGUUGUGCCCUUGAGGCGUGGCUUCCGGAGCUAACGCGUUAAAUCGACCGCCUGGGGAGUACGGCCGCAAGGUUAAAACUCAAAUGAAUUGACGGGGGCCCGCACAAGCGGUGGAGCAUGUGGUUUAAUUCGAUGCAACGCGAAGAACCUUACCUGGUCUUGACAUCCACAGAACUUUCCAGAGAUGGAUUGGUGCCUUCGGGAACUGUGAGACAGGUGCUGCAUGGCUGUCGUCAGCUCGUGUUGUGAAAUGUUGGGUUAAGUCCCGCAACGAGCGCAACCCUUAUCCUUUGUUGCCAGCGGUUAGGCCGGGAACUCAAAGGAGACUGCCAGUGAUAAACUGGAGGAAGGUGGGGAUGACGUCAAGUCAUCAUGGCCCUUACGACCAGGGCUACACACGUGCUACAAUGGCAUAUACAAAGAGAAGCGACCUCGCGAGAGCAAGCGGACCUCAUAAAGUAUGUCGUAGUCCGGAUUGGAGUCUGCAACUCGACUCCAUGAAGUCGGAAUCGCUAGUAAUCGUAGAUCAGAAUGCUACGGUGAAUACGUUCCCGGGCCUUGUACACACCGCCCGUCACACCAUGGGAGUGGGUUGCAAAAGAAGUAGGUAGCUUAACCUUCGGGAGGGCGCUUACCACUUUGUGAUUCAUGACUGGGGUGAAGUCGUAACAAGGUAACCGUAGGGGAACCUGCGGUUGGAUCACCUCCUUACCUUAAAGAA
rnacentral:rRNA from 1 species